rnacentral:rRNA from 1 species
UGGCGGCACUAGCGCGGUGGUCCCACCUGACCCCAUGCCGAACUCCAGAAGUGAAACGCCGUAGCGCCGAUGGUAGUGUGGGGUCUCCCCAUGCGAGAGUAGGGAACUGCCAGGCA